CAUUUUUGACAAUAUAAACAAACCGUAAAACCCAGUAACACACACACACACACAUUUUUGUAACUGGUUUAAAAAGGUCAAUAGAGCUAAGAGUUUCUAGUUAUUAUAAGAAUUCAGCUUGUGGUCCAUACCAAAGUAAGCUAUAAAUUUACAUUUAUGUACUAAGAAAACUGAGUGAAAGGUGUAAGCUUAUCCAAAACUCUUAAGGUUUAUGGCAAGUCAGUUUCUUUUCUGUUUGCAAUAACAGCAGGAAAAAAGUAUAUAAAAAUGGUUAAAUAUUGUUUCAUCACCCAUAAGAGUGAGCUAUUUAAUAACUGACAAAAAUAUAAUAAGAUGUAAAACAAUUGUCAUUAAAAAGGACUACUGCAAUAUUUGAAAUAUGGGGAGGAAUGCAAUUAUUUUAUUUACAAAAUUAAUAAAAAUUUCACCCAAAUCAUUUUGAAUACUAUUGUUUCCUGGAUAAAAAUUCAAUCUGAAACUGACAAUUAUGCACAUGGCAAAUCUUUAUCCUGGCUUAGAGUGUCCCCAGCAGGUGGUUUACUUAUGAUUAAUGAUUUACAGUUCUUGAAUAUUCAGAUUGGUAAAUGUAAUGGAGGUUUUUAAUUGCCAAACUCUUUUUACCCUCAGCUUGCCUUAUGACAGCUUGCCUUCACUUUAAACAUGUUGUUAUGAACAUGAUUUAAAAUGAGUGCCAAAAAUAUGAGGUUGCUUCGUGCACUGACUGCUAUGGGCAAACACCCUGUACAAGCUUUUCUUCUGUGUUAACAAAAAUAAAAAUAAAUUGUAAUUUUUUGAUAGCUUGUUCAACAUAUUCAUAUUUUUUAAAGGCAGUGACAACUGUUUUUUUUAUCUCUUCCAUCAUAUUUUGUCAUGAGUUACAAAACAAAUUAUAAUCAGGUACCUUUUUUUAAUAAUCUAUCAGAUGCUUGUAUUUAAAAAAUAUAAUUCAUCAGGAGAGAAGUUCAACGUUAAUACUAUUUGGCAAAGCUAAAAGGAUAUAGAAAAGGUAUAAUGAGGCUUAUAGGUUUAAAAUUGUUUAUUUUAGAACACAUAAAGUAAAGCUGUGUAUUGGCUUGUUUCAGUUGAUGAUGGAUGUGAAAAUACAUAAAAAAACUCAGUGUGUGAAAAUAACCCUAUUCUUAGAAGACCUUUACACCUAUUAAUUAUCAUCUGGGCAAAAUCAUUUAAAUACCUUUAAGUUUUUGUUUACUAAUCUGUACAUUGAAGCUAAAAGUAGCUGUCCUAAUUAUAUCACAAGGUUUUUUAAGAAUCAAAUGAUUGUUUCCUGCUAAAUUGUGGGCCUGGUGUGGGCAAGGACCAUCUUACUUCAUUUCCAUGGUAGGUAAACAGGCAUUUCAGUGUUUGCUAAUGAAUGAAUGACUCAGAUUAGAAUAUAAAUGUGAAAGUAAAAUAUAGAUGGUAAAGCAUUAUUUUAUGAGUUUUAGUAAUGAAGGAAAGCUUAAUUGGCUUAGGGAAAACCUCUGUGUUUUAGGACAAGCACUGGCAAUGAUCCAUUACCGAAACUCAUACCCUAGUAACCUGGUAAGGAUAUUUUUUUCUUUGUCUUUUUUCAAUUUUGAAGAAAAAAUAAUCAAAUACAUGAGUGCUUACCUUAAAUAUUGAGAGUUCUCGUCGUGGCUCAGUGGUUAACGAACCGGACUAAUAUCCUUGAGGAUGCAGGUUCAAUCCCUGGCGUAGAUCAGUUGGUUAGGAUCUGGUGUAGGCCACAGAUGAGGCUCAGACCCCACAUUGCUGUGGCUGUGGUGUAGGCUGACAGCUACAGCUCUGAUUCAACCCCUAGCCUGGGAACCUCCAUAUGCCA
rnacentral:lncRNA from 1 species